CCUACGGGAGGCAGCAGUGGGGAAUAUUGGACAGUGGGCGAAAGCCUGAUCCAGCCAUGCCGCGUGUGUGAAGAAGGCCUUCGGGUUGUAAAGCACUUUCAGUGGGGAAGAAAGCCUUGGGGCUAAUACCCUCGAGGAAGGACAUCACCCACAGAAGAAGCACCGGCUAACUCCGUGCCAGCAGCCGCGGUAAUACGGAGGGUGCGAGCGUUAAUCGGAAUUACUGGGCGUAAAGCGCGCGUAGGCGGUCUGAUAAGCCGGUUGUGAAAGCCCCGGGCUCAACCUGGGAACGGCAUCCGGAACUGUCAGGCUAGAGUGCAGGAGAGGAAGGUAGAAUUCCCGGUGUAGCGGUGAAAUGCGUAGAGAUCGGGAGGAAUACCAGUGGCGAAGGCGGCCUUCUGGACUGACACUGACGCUGAGGUGCGAAAGCGUGGGUAGCAAACAGGAUUAGAUACCCCAGUAGUC
rnacentral:rRNA from 1 species